rnacentral:rRNA from 1 species
GUGGGGAAUUUUGGACAAUGGGCGCAAGCCUGAUCCAGCAAUGCCGCGUGCAGGAAGAAGGCCUUCGGGUUGUAAACUGCUUUUGUACGGAACGAAACGGCUCUGGUUAAUACCCGGGGCUAAUGACGGUACCGUAAGAAUAAGCACCGGCUAACUACGUGCCAGCAGCCGCGGUAAUACGUAGGGUGCAAGCGUUAAUCGGAAUUACUGGGCGUAAAGCGUGCGCAGGCGGGUUUGUAAGACAGGCGUGAAAUCCCCGGGCUCAACCUGGGAAUGGCGCUUGUGACUGCAAAGCUGGAGUGCGGCAGAGGGGGAUGGAAUUCCGCGUGUAGCAGUGAAAUGCGUAGAUAUGCGGAGGAACACCGAUGGCGAAGGCAAUCCCCUGGGCCUGCACUGACGCUCAUGCACGAAAGCGUGGGGAGCAAACAGGAUUAGAUACCCCUGUAGUCC